rnacentral:rRNA from 1 species
CCAACCUGCCGUCUACUCUUGGCCAGCCUUCUGAAAGGAAGAUUAAUCCAGGAUGGCAUCAUGAGUUCACAUGUCCGCAUGAUUAAAGGUAUUUUCCGGUAGACGAUGGGGAUGCGUUCCAUUAGAUAGUAGGCGGGGUAACGGCCCACCUAGUCAACGAUGGAUAGGGGUUCUGAGAGGAAGGUCCCCCACAUUGGAACUGAGACACGGUCCAA